CCUUUCUUUCCACAGGUAUUUAAUUCUUCUUACUGUUCUACUCUCAGAUGUUCCUGAAUGUAUCUCCAAACUAUUGUUUAGAAAUGGAGGGAAAAAAAUAGAAUAUGGGACAGAAGAGAGAGCCAGGCAGUCUCCUUGCACAGAACAAGGUUCAUAUCUCCCAAUGAGAGUUACAGAGCUGAAAAGGUUAUUUCUAUGCUGAGAGAAGGAGAAGAACCAGAACUGCCACAGUACCAAAACCAGAGUUGCAGAGCCCAGUGCACUGAGUGGAGAACUGGUAGUCAUCUCUGGAUCAGGACUUCUGCUAAUUUGGGAACAAAGGCCAAGAGAUCACUCCGAUUUGCCUGCCCAGAGGGGAUGGGCUUGGCCUGACCUUUCAGGCAUCUCCAGGCAGUUUCUUUUCCAGUGUGGAGUGCUGAAAUGCCCCAUCAAGAAUCUGGGUAUGUGUGAUUCAUGCAAAGUCAUAGAGGAGGUACCUGGAAAAGCAAGGAAUUGAGUGGCAUUCUCCUGAGGCCCAGAUUAAUGCUUACUCCGUUGUACAGCCUUUCCUCUGUCAGUAUCUCUGAAGAAAACCUAAGAAAAAAUGUGGUUUGUGGAAUGAAGACCUUUUCUAUUUACCCGUGGACUUCCUUCAGUGCUUCAUAUCUGGUAAACAUUUGGGCUUGUCUUCACCUUAGCUGCAACUGUCACUGUGUCCAUUAACUUGUCAACAAGAAUUUUGCCACUUUUUUCUAUGGAGUGUAUUUUUUCUCAGCAGAUGAGAGCAGAAGAGAGCACCCUGACACAGUAAAUGGCUACAUAAGUCUGCAGACUGAUCCCACUGCUGGGAGUGCUGUGAUUCCCUCGUGUUUCUGUGUGUCUGGGCCACCCAAGAGAGAAGCACUGCAGGUGUUUCAAGCAUGAACUCCCAGUCCUCUUGCCACUUCUGAAGCACUUCACUGGCUUGGAUAACAGAGCACUGUAGUCAAAGGACCUAAUAUAAGUGAGAGACAAACACAUUCUGGGAAGAAUAGCUUUAUUUGGCCAGUAGCCUAAUCCAUAAGACCAUCUGCUUGAUGCAGCUAGAGCUUCUGGACUUCCAGCCUGAAUAGGUCGGAACUGAUUUGUGUGACUGAAUACUUUAUCCUUUCCGGAAUGACUCUUGUCAGUAUGCUAACAAAGCCUUCCACAGAUGUUCCUAUGUACAGAGCUUUCAGGAAGAUUGCCUGCUGUUUUAGUUGGAAGAUAUGGUCUACUACACUUAUACAGUAAUCUCUAUUAAGUUAUACUUUAAAUAAUGUUUAGUUUUUCUUGACAAUUUUCUGUAGAAUAGAUACAGAUACGUUUCAGCAAAGGUCAGUAUUAUGUCCCCUCUAUAACCAGAGAAAGUAAAAGACAGAAAAAUGAGGGACAUUGUCUAAGACCACCUAAGGAGGAGAUAGAGCAGUAGAGCUGGGAAUGAUAUUAGUCCCGUGGCCUCUCCAUUAGAUCCCUCUACUGCCACACUAUUUCAUUAAAAUGUAUAAGAUCUUAGUGCUCAGUCACAUCUCAGGCAUAUGCCACUAUAAUUAAAAUCUAUCAUAUUGUAUACAGUCACUGGAGUAAUUUUGAACAGUUCACAGAAGGGUAGAUUGUUGUGAGUCUGUGAAGUGUUUUAUCAAAAAACAUAAACAUGCAUUUACCAGGCAUAAUUACUGUGCUGAAAAUAACUAUCACACUUUCAUUUGUGCUUCCUAGCUCUUUCUAGUGGAACUGUUAAACACCAGCGUCAAUAGGUCUUUCAGAUUUUCUUUACUUUAAACAGACUGCAAAUGUGUUUUAUCUAGUUAUGCUAACAGCUGCUAGCAGGCCAUGCAUUAUUGUUACGUCCAUUAUUAUGAAAACUCAGCUUUCGUUUUUAAGUCUUUUUAAGAGUAGAUAUAAACUCUGUUAACAAAUCAGCCCAGAAAGAUGAGCUUUGCACCUGUUGUCCUCUCCUGCCAGAGAGCAAAUAAUGCUAUCUGGAAGCCAUCCCAGUGAUUUGCUCAUUGUCUGCCCAGGCACGUCUUUUCUCAAGAAGCCUUCAACCAUAUUGAGCAGACCAAAUGUCAGUAGUGAUUCAUGCAGACUUAGAGUUUCCACGAGACAGAACCAGAAGGUUAACUAGCAAGCCUGACUCAGCAGGAGCAAAGCCAGAGCUCACUGUAGUAAAGGGGAAGAAGGGCAAUGACACAAAAUAUGGAAUGAAAUACAGAAUAGUGGUGAAUUAAACAAAAUCUUACAUGGGUCACCAAUUGACCACAGAAUGAACUACCCACACAGACAGAUAAGUAUGUCCUAGGUAGUGAGGAAUGUAAUUUAUAUUAAUUAAAAUUAUGUGAGACUUUGGAAAAACUCCUGCUAAAAGUCCUUCUUCAGGUUUGAGGCAAUCUCAGGUACAAAAGAUCAGGAGGAGACCUGUAAUCUGUUCUGCAUGAUGCUGUUUUUAGAGGCUCUUAAACAUGGGGUAGUCUGUAAAGAAACGCUUGGGUAGGCUAAGUGUAUAUGAAGAUAUCUUUCUCAGUGAUGGGACAGGCUGAGUUUGUUGGGAGAAAAAAAGUAGAGGUCGUAGCAGGGUUCAGUGUCACAACAUAAUGCUGUGUUGGCAGAGGAACUGCUUGCAUUACCUUCGGAGUGAAGAAUGUCUCAACUCUGAAGCAGCUUAGCAGAAAAUAUCUGAAAGGUGAGGACAGUUCAAAGCACUUAACACGUGACAGAGACACAAACAACUGGUCUUCUACAAGAUACCCUGAAGACAAAUGGAGGCUGUUACAACUCCUCAUUCAUUUCACUACAGAAAACUUCCAGAAGCAGCCAAAGCAGCAGUCCUGUUGCUCACUGUAUAUCAGGUUCAACUUUUAACUUAGUGCUGCAUCUCUGCAUUGUACUGGUGUCUUAAUGAAGGAAUUAAAGACAAUAAGACAUUCUUA